UAUAAUAAUUCUAUACUUGUUUGAAUAAUUUUUCUUUUAGAAAGAUUUGACAAAAAUAAAAACAAGAAAAUCAUAAACCGAUAUUUCCAUUUUAACUAAGUAAAUUACCCCUUUAUUUCUCCUCAUUCACAUUUUAAUUAAGGAAACUUGCUCCUCAUUUCCCCUCUCAAAACCUCCUAUAAACUUCUACUGCUUUCCCUUGCCUUCCCCUUCACUCACGACACUCAGACCAAAAAAAUAAAAAUAAAAAUUCGCUGCUUCCUCCCGCCGCUGUUGCUGCCUCCCCUGCGCCGCUGCUGCCUCCCCUGAAACCCACCACCGCCGACCUCGCUGCAGCCCCGUACCACCACAACCGGAGAGGACUUCGUAGAGGGUGACUUCUAACCUUAAAGUGGCCAAUCAAUUUGUGUACUCAAGAUUCAUCACAGGUUUUUGCAUAAACUGUCUUGCAUCAGGGUGAUGGGAUUUGAGUGGAGAGUUGGUUAACCAGUUAGCUUAUUUCAAAACACAGAUUGAAUUUCAUUUUGGUGUUGGUUCCAUUACUUCCUAUUUUAUUGGAUUUUGAAUAAGGGUCGUUAUGGUUCCAACUUGUAAGACUGAGUUUUGACUUCCAGUUUUGAAACUUAUAUUCUUUUUAAAACUAAGUUAGUUUUCCGCUGCUGAUUUCUGAAACUAGCCUUAACGUUUGAACACGUGGCGGUAGCACUCCAAUAAUUCUCUUACAGGUUAUUCAGGUUUCACAGGUUGUCACAGGUUUUUACAGGUUUUCUUUUAGAGAGAAUUAUUGGGGUGUUACAGAAAGUGGCAGUUAUGGAGAAGGAGAUCGAAGGAGAGAGACGGAGUGUUAGGAAAGUGUUGAGAAAAAGCUCCGAAGUCCCUUCAAUGGAAAAAUUCGAGUACGCUACAAUGGAGGAGAGAGAGAGGCACAUCAGAUGAGAAGAGGAAAAGAGCAAGGAAAUGAUGAAGAAGAAGACGCGCGUUAUAAACCGGGCUUUUUUUUUUAAUGGCACCGGUUCAAACCGGU